UGGGGAAUAUUGGACAAUGGGCGCAAGCCUGAUCCAGCCAUGCCGCGUGUGUGAAGAAGGCCUUAUGGUUGUAAAGCACUUUAAGCGAGGAGGAGGCUACUUUAGUUAAUACCUAGAGAUAGUGGACGUUACUCGCAGAAUAAGCACCGGCUAACUCUGUGCCAGCAGCCGCGGUAAUACAGCGGGUGCAAGCGUUAAUCGGAUUUACUGGGCGUAAAGCGCGCGUAGGCGGCUAAUUAAGUCAAAUGUGAAAUCCCCGAGCUUAACUUGGGAAUUGCAUUGGAUACUGGUUAGCUAGAGUGUGGGAGAGGAGGGUAGAAUUCCAGGUGUAGCGGUGAAAUGCGUAGAGAUCUGGAGGAAUACCGAUGGCGAAGGCAGCCAUCUGGCCUAACACUGACGCUGAGGUAAGAAAGCAUGGGGAGCAAACAGG
rnacentral:rRNA from 1 species